AGUGAACGCUGGCGGUAGGCCUAACACAUGCAAGUCGAACGGCAACACAGGAGAGCUUGCUCUCUGGGUGGCGAGUGGCGGACGGGUGAGGAAUACAUCGGAAUCUACUCUGUCGUGGGGGAUAACGUAGGGAAACUUACGCUAAUACCGCAUACGACCUACGGGUGAAAGCAGGGGACCUUCGGGCCUUGCGCGAUUGAAUGAGCCGAUGUCGGAUUAGCUAGUUGGCGGGGUAAAGGCCCACCAAGGCGACGAUCCGUAGCUGGUCUGAGAGGAUGAUCAGCCACACUGGAACUGAGACACGGUCCAGACUCCUACGGGAGGCAGCAGUGGGGAAUAUUGGACAAUGGGCGCAAGCCUGAUCCAGCCAUACCGCGUGGGUGAAGAAGGCCUUCGGGUUGUAAAGCCCUUUUGUUGGGAAAGAAAUCCAGCUGGCUAAUACCCGGUUGGGAUAACGGUACCCAAAGAAUAAGCACCGGCUAACUUCGUGCCAGCCGCCGCGGUAA
rnacentral:rRNA from 1 species